rnacentral:rRNA from 1 species
CAACUUUCAACAACGGAUCUCUUGGCUCUCGCAUCGAUGAAGAACGCAGCGAAAUGCGAUAACUAAUGUGAAUUGCAGAAUUCAGUGAAUCAUCGAGUCUUUGAACGCACCUUGCGCCCUUUGGUAUUCCAAAGGGCAUGCCUGUUUGAGUGUCA